CAGGGAAUAGUUUAUUUAAAAUAAUAAUUUUGGAGAUUAUCGAUAAGAGUUAUCUUUUCCUUGA
rnacentral:tRNA from 1 species